UACAGAGGUCUCAAGCGUUGUUCGGAUUCAUUGGGCGUAAAGGGUGCGUAGGUGGCGGGGCAAGUUUGGUGUGAAAUCCUAGGGCUCAACCCUGGAACUGCACUGAAUACUGCUUUGCUAGAGUACUGGAGAGGGAACUGGAAUUUACGGUGUAGCAGUGAAAUGCGUAGAUAUCGUAAGGAAGACCAGUGGCGAAGGCGAGUUCCUGGACAGUUACUGACACUGAGGAGCGAAAGCGUGGGGAGCGAUCCGG
rnacentral:rRNA from 1 species